rnacentral:rRNA from 1 species
AACGAACGCUGGCGGCAUGCCUAACACAUGCAAGUCGAACGAGACCUUCGGGUCUAGUGGCGCACGGGUGCGUAACGCGUGGGAAUCUGCCCUUAGGUUCGGAAUAACUCAGGGAAACUUGAGCUAAUACCGGAUAAUGACGUAAGUCCAAAGAUUUAUCGCCUAGGGAUGAGCCCGCGUAGGAUUAGCUAGUUGGUGGGUAAAGGA